rnacentral:lncRNA from 12 species
UUAUUUUAGAGAGUGAGAAAGUGUGAGUGAGCAUGCGCAAGUAGGGGGAGGGGCAGAAAGAAAGGGGGAGAGAGAAUGAAUCUCAAGGAGACUCUGCCCUGAGCACAGAGCCUGACAUGGAACUCAUGACCCUGAGAUCAUGAUCUGAGUGAAAAUCAAGAAUUAGAUGCAUAACUGAUUAAGUCACCCAGAUGCCCCAAGAUGAAUUUUGACUUUUUCCUUUUCAGCAAACGCCAAUAAAGUAAAAAAUAAGGAGCCUGGAAGAAGAUGUAUAACAUGCCCAAUAACAGGUUUAUGGACAUCUGUAGGAGAUGCAAUAGAUAUUUCAUCUAACUGCAUUGGGUAUUAGAGCAAAGGAUGAAUUGUAAGUUUUAUUCAACUUGCUACAACAUGUUGGUGCCCUAGGAGACUUUUCUACCUAGAGAAGAAUCCAUUAAAAUAUGUCUGGAUGGAAAGC